ACCUUCCCGGAAUGCAACACAUUCUUCUCUUCCAAAUCACAUGUUCCCUUCCAAAUCAGAAUCUUUCCCUUUCACUCUAAAACCUAACUUCAGAGUGUUCCGCUCCACGAUUAAGCCAGGCCGUAGUUUCCGUUGCAGCGAUCUUCGUCGCGCCAGCUCCGUCGCGUCGUCUCCGUCGCGCCAGCUUCGUUGCGCGGACUUCGUCGCGCUAGCUCCGUCAAAAACCUAAGUUCAGAGUGCCAAUCGAUUCCGCUCCGCAAUUAAGCCAUGUCGUAGCCUCCGUUGCAGUGAUCUUCGUCGCGCCGUCUCCGUCCCGCCAACUCCGUCACACCAGCUCCGUCCCGCGGUCUUCGUCACGCCAAUUCCGUCUUGUGGUCUUUUGAGAGGACAUGGUGUGGGUCCUUUUGGUUGGAGACUUUUGGUGUGGGUUCGAUGCAUGAAUUCUCUAAGUUUUUAUUGUGUUCCAGCAAUUUAAUGUUUGCUUUUGUUAGCCAGGCAGAGCUAGCAUUUUCUGAAUUUUCUGGAAAUGGUGCUGGAAUACUAUCUGCUGCUAGCACAGCUGCCAGUACUUUUCUCUUAGUUUUUGUCGCCGAAUGGGGUGAUAAGUCAUUUUUCUCCACAAUUGGUGAGUUCUAACGUUAGAAUUAUUGGUUUGAAAGUAUAUAUGGAACACCUAUACCUAGAACUAUCGUUUUUGUCGUUAUUAAUAUCAAACUUUUUAUGAUUUUGCUAUUCCUUGGUCUGGAAGCAUAGGAGACAAAAAUGCGAAAUGACAUGCGAAAACUGAUAAUGUGUUGUGGGUUUGUGGUGAUUUUACAAGGUCUUUUUGUGAUAUGUCAUGUUUGUCAAUGGUAGAACUUUUCAUUUUUUAGUUGUCCUUGCUAUUGAUUCGGGAAGAAUAUGCGGCUAGCUAGUUUUGGUUCUUGCUAUCUCCAGGUAUAAUUAAAUCUCUUAGAAAUUAAAAGUGCAUAUGUUGGUUAGAUUGGCCAAGUUACAACUUCAACAACUGACGGGAAACACUUUUAAAAUUGGCAAAUUCUUUAUGAAACUUUCUUUUACUUUUGGCAAUGUUGUUCGCUGAAUUUUAAAUUUUCGUGUUUUGGAUCGCUGGCUAUAGUUUAUUUUGUCCUUGUCCUUGGUUCCCUCGUUACUUUCAUUGCCUACGCUGUGUGGAGGAAUCAUUACUUCCUAUACCUAGUGGUUGCAUUCACCAUUGCUGUUGGAGUAUACUUAGGAUUUAGGACCAUAAUCACAUGCGAUGGUGGUGAGAAAUAACUUAUAUUUUUGUUGUAUAUCGUCUUAAAAGUUGUUCUGUUGAAAGCUAUCAGUAUGAAAGGCUCAUGAUGAUCGCUUAAAAUAUUAUAUUUUAAUUUUGAAAAUGGUAAGUGUUUCUCUGGAAACAAUGGUAAUUAUAGAUUUCUAGAGACACUUCAGUUCAUGGUUGCCAUCAAUAACACCAAAGGAGUUUAUGAAUUUGUCCAAGCUCGUCAACUCUGGUAACAAAUAUCCCAUUCUAUCUCUUUUUUUUUCUCAGUUUUCUUAUGUUUUGUUACAAUUAUGUGUAUAUAGUUAGGUUUUUACAAUGAUUAGAUAAUUUAGAAGAGGUGGGUGGUGUAUGAGUGUCAGGUAUGGAAAAUGCUUCAAGACAAAGUUAUUCCCAAAUAUGCACGCUUUCAUAUCGAGCACGGAGUCAACAAAAGUGAUUCUAAACAAUGAGGAGAAAUUCUCAAAGAAGUAUAUGAAGUCAAUCGUUGAGCUUGUUGGACGUGAUAGCUUGCUCUGUGCUGCACACCAACAUCACAAACUUAUUUGCAGUUCUCUGUUUUCUCUGUUCUCGACCUUCCUUUGUUGAACUCUUUGAUUCACUUCUUCUUGAAGCUAUAAGUAGUUGGAAAUGUGGAUUUGUUCUCGUUAUUCAAGAUGAAACACUAAGGUAUUUCAACUAAACAAAAAUAAAUUAAGCUUAUUCUUUAUGUAAAUACUACCUCUUAACACCAUUAUUUAUAUUCCAAAAUAACUAAUUUUUUAAACUAAAAAUAAUUAUCAAAAUAACUAAGAAUUUAAGUAUAACUUAAAGUUUCAUAUUGAAUGAAAAUAAAAAUGAAGGAAGUUGAGUGCCGAGUAGAAAAAAUAUUAACACUAAGUUUUCAUUCUCAAUGUUCUAAUGUAGUUAAGCUGAUAUGCAUGGUUGAUAAAGUUUUUCUAAAGCAAAGUUGAUAAAGUUUUUCUUAUUAGUUAUUAGUUAGAUCCAAUCACAAAUUGAGUUUUAUCUUAAAACUCAAUUUAUAAAUUUGUAUUAAUGUAGUUAUUAGGCAACAAGUCAAAGAGUUUUGUAUGGUUUCCAAACUUCUUUUUUACUGUAUUCUUCUGUUAUAAAUGAUUACUGUAUUCACACAUUAGUAUAUUAUUUAUAAUGAAUAAUAAUCGAGAAUAAAAUUAAUAUUUAAAUAUGGAAAAUAUUUGGUAAAUUGGUAAGAUAUUUUACUAUCUACCAUAUUAUAUCUUUCUUUAAUGUUAUAUUUAAAUCAUAUUUCUAACAAUUAUGGAAAAUCACUCUUUCAACUUCAAGCUAAGAGGACGACUCAAGCUACAAAUGAGAAUUCAGCUUCUUCAAUACAAAUACACUAGUACUUAAUGACUAGUCCAUUAACUGAUGUGGCAACACACAAAUUCUUUGAAAGUCGUAAAUAUUUAGGUCUCAAGGCUGAACAGGCAAACUGGAAAUGUAUACAAGAAUGUGAAGAGGAAGAUUGAGAGAGGAGUUUUUCCAACAUGUAUAUCAGGAAACAACUUAGUAUGUCAUUUCUCUUUACUAGCCAGUGAUGAGAAAUUGUGCUAUUUCAUGGCAUGAAAGAAGACCAUGUUCGUUUCGGGAUUUUUUUCUUCUAGUAUAUCAAUUGAGUUUCUUGAUAUGAUGUAUAUCGAGAUUUAUGCUUUGGGAUUUUUACUUUAUUCGUUCCAUGUCAAGGUUACUUUGAAAGAUUAGGAAAGGAGAGUUAGUAGCAUAAACAGAGAAGAUUUGCAUAUGAAGGUUACUUCUGUUGUCUCCAUGAACAUUUUUGUUGCCCUUCUCUCUGCUUGCAUCAUCAUCGGUCAUCUCUUGGAGGAGAACCGAUGGAUCAAUGAAUCCAUCACUGCCCUUCUCAUUGUCAGAUUCUUAUUUGUUUUUAUUGUAGCUAUCGACAUUGAGAAGAUGAGUUUUUAGAAAAAGUUCCGUUUUUCUUUGGCAGGGUCUUUGUACUGGAGUCUUUAUACUGCUAUCUACUGGAGGAAAAAGCUCAUAUACUAGUAUUCAGUGAAGAUCUUUUCUUCAUUUACCUUCUCCCACCCAUCAUUUUCAAUGCCGGGUUCCAAGUGAAGAAGAAAUAGUUUUUUCGCAACUUUAUGACUAUUAUGCUCUUUGGUGCAGUUGGUACUUUGAUAUCAUUCUGCAUCAUAUCACUGGGUGCCAUACAUUUUUUUCAGAAGUUGGACAUUGGUUCCCUCAAGAUUGAAGAUUUUCUUGGUGUGCUUAAAUUACCUCCUUACCUUACAAUACUUUGUUGGAAUAAUUAACUGCAAAUUGCAAAGAGAUAUCCCUGGAGUGGACAAAUUGCAGCACCAUUUCCAUUUGGUUCUGCACCUUUUAUUGGCUUUCCAUUGAGUGUUAUUAUGUUGACAUGGCUGCUUCUCCCAGUGCUGACAUGGCUACUUGAGGGCAAACCAGUGAUGCAAAUGAGCCUAAGUCUUCUAUGUGUACAAGAGGAUCAUCUGGUGGUAGCAACAUUUAGGGUGUUGAUGAUGUUUUUUAGGAUGAAAUUAUUUUAGUGUAUUAUGAACUUUGAGUAAGUAUGGAUUAAGUUGUAAUUGUUUCAAUUUAAAUUGCUUUUAUGUUAAUAUGUUGAUUUUGAGAAUCAAAAGUUCUAAUGAUAUAUAUUUGAGCACUUUGGUUGAA